GACGAACGCUGGCGGCGUGCUUAACACAUGCAAGUCGAGCGGUAAGGCCCUUCGGGUACGACGAGCGGCGAACGGGUGAGUAACACGUGGGUGACCUGCCCUUAGCUCUGGGAUAAGCCUGGGAAACGUAGGGUCUAAUACCGGAUAUGACCUCAUGACGCAUGUUGUGGGGUGGAAAGCCUUGUGCGGCUAGGGAGUGGGCCCGCGGCCUAUCAGCUUGUUGGUGGGGUGAUGGCCACCAAGGCGACGACGGGUAGCCGGCCUGAGAGGGCGACCGGCCACACUGGGACU
rnacentral:rRNA from 1 species